CGUUUCAGCUCCCACAUGGAGCUUUCAUCAGGACAAAACAGUCCUGAUUUUUGUCCUGAUGAAAGCUCCAUGUGGGAGCUGAAAC